rnacentral:rRNA from 1 species
GCAGCGCCGCGGUAAUACAGAGGGUGCGAGCGUUAAUCGGAUUUACUGGGCGUAAAGCGUGCGUAGGCGGCUUCUUAAGUCGGAUGUGAAAUCCCUGAGCUUAACUUAGGAAUUGCAUUCGAUACUGGGAAGCUAGAGUAUGGGAGAGGAUGGUAGAAUUCCAGGUGUAGCGGUGAAAUGCGUAGAGAUCUGGAGGAAUACCGAUGGCGAAGGCAGCCAUCUGGCCUAAUACUGACGCUGAGGUACGAAAGCAUGGGGAGCAAACAGGAUUAGAUACCCCUGUAGUCCCUGUCUCUUAUACA